rnacentral:lncRNA from 1 species
UGGCACCCGACCGUUCUUCUACACGAGCAGCCGGCUGGAUGCUGUUCUGUUUCUUUUCUUCCUCGGCAGCCGGCCUCUCUCCCCCUUUUUUUUGUCAGCCGGCCUUUGACACUCGGCCUUUGACUUUUUCAGUCGGCCCCAAGCGAGCAGCCGGCCCCCGCUUCUUCUUUUCCUUGCGUGGGGCAGCCGGCAUCUCACUUCUUUUCCCAGCCGGACCGGCAUCUCCUGUCAAUGAGCACCCGAUCGAAGCAGGCGGCCGCAGCGGCGGGGGCUUGGCCGCGUCCGUGGACCGGAGCCGGCGCGGAACAGGGCGGCAGCCGGCAGGCGGGGGCUCGGCCAUGGCAGCGGGAGCGCGACGGGCGCCAGGGAGGAGGCCGGGCGCGGGAGCCAGCGACGGGGCGGACCGGAGUCNNNNNNNNNNNNNNNNNNNNNNNNNNNNNNNNNNNNNNNNNNNNNNNNNNNNNNNNNNNNNNNNNNNNNNNNNNNNNNNNNNNNNNNNNNNNNNNNNNNNNNNNNNNNNNNNNNNNNNNNNNNNNNNNNNNNNNNNNNNNNNNNNNNNNNNNNNNNNNNNNNNNNNNNNNNNNNNNNNNNNNNNNNNNNNNNNNNNNNNNNNNNNNNNNNNNNNNNNNNNNNNNNNNNNNNNNNNNNNNNNNNNNNNNNNNNNNNNNNNNNNNNNNNNNNNNNNNNNNNNNNNNNNNNNNNNNNNNNNNNNNNNNNNNNNNNNNNNNNNNNNNNNNNNNNNNNNNNNNNNNNNNNNNNNNNNAGCGGCCAGACCAAGCGGCGGGCGGCCGCGGGGGCCGAGCUAGCGGGUGCCGAGCACCCGGCCGCGUGCGGAUGUGAAGCCGGCCGCUGCUGGGAAGGGCGGGGCAGGCGGCCCGAGCGCACGGAGCGCAGCCGGAGGUGGCGAGCUGGCGCGAGGGGCACAAGAAGCGGACGGGCGAUGAAGGCGCUGAGGCCAGGCGGAGACCCAGGCGCGUAGGACCUGACGAACACCGGGCGGCGGGACGGCACGGAGGAGCGCGCGCUCGCGGAGCGGUGAAACGGGGGAGGGAAGGCAGGGAGCAGCGCGGGCCAGCAACGCGCGCGGGCACACGGAGGCCAAGCGACGUGCGAGCAGGACCAUGCGGCCAGGACGCGGUGCACAGGCACACGGGGGCUGAGCGGCGGGGCGUACGCGGGCGUGCAGAGCAGUGGGCGAGCAGGACCUGUAGGCAUGGGUGCACGCAUGCGUUGUCUGUGUUGUGUCUGGCCACUGUACGAGGGACGUAUGAGCAGUGUCCAACCACUGUGUGAGCAGAGUAUGGGGGCGUCCAGCCACUGUACAAGCAGUGAGGAGCCAGAACAUUUGCAGCGGGCGCGGCGGCAAAUAGUAGGAGCAGCGGCAGGUGAAGGUAGCGGCAGUGCUCGGCGGAGCGGAGCAGAGGGGCGCAGAGCUGGCGGCCUGGAGGCCAUCGGAGGAGCAUGGCUGCGCGAGCUCAUGUUGGAUGCGUGCAACGGGAUGGACGAGGGCGCGGCGGACGUCCAGCCGCCUGCGUGCACACGAGAUGUGCUAGCUAGCUAAGCUAGCAUGCAUGCAGCCAAGUCGAUUGCCUUAGCUAGCUAGGCGUAGGCGCGUGUACGCAUAGGGACGGAUGCGGCCAGCCUGCCUGCGCAUGGAGGGGAGGCUCGAGGAGCAGAGAGCGAAGCCGGCGACGAGACGAACGGCGUGUCCGAGGAAGGCGGAGGCAGACGGCGACGACGCGACAUGCCGCACGGCCGCCCUGGGGGCGAGUCAAUGUUGAGCUCCCAGGCGCGCCGGAAAGGCGACGGCGACGCCUUGGCGGAGGUGACGAAGAUGGCGAGGCCGACGACGAGGACACGCCGCCCCGCGCGGUCACUCCCGGGACGGGUCGAUGUCGAGCCCCCGAGCGCUACCGAGGAGACGACGCGACGCCGUGGCGAUGAUGAUGAAAAAAGGGUCCCGCCCGGACUGCGAAACCAGCAGCAGCGUGGUAGCAUAGUACCGCCCCACGGUGGGCGCCAACUGUCGUGGUAUUCUCACGGGGGGCUUGCGAGUCGACAGAUGCCACAAGGGCUUAGUGUGAGGGUAAGACUGCUGCUGAUAGGCCCGGGAGCGGGUAUGCGAGUAGCACGCGCUAGUUUACCCAGGUUUGGGGCUCUCCGGAGAGAUAAUACCCCUACUCCUACAUGUCUGAGUAUAUCUGGUAUGUAUAUCUGGUACAGAGUGCUCCUGGAGCUGUAUCUAAGCUCAGUGUCAUAUGCAUCUGGCUUUGUAUAUGUACGUGGCCUGGUGGUCAUUGCCUCUGGCCGUAUGGAUGUGCUUGGGCAUGCUUGCCCGUGGGAAUGGACGGAUGGAUGGCUAGCUAGCUCUCUUGCUAGCUAGCUUGCUUGUGGGUGUGUGCGUGAGUCCAUCCUAGAUGGAUGGAUGUGUGCCCAUAUAUAUAGGCAUGGCUAGCUUAGGAAGUAAGCUAAGUGAUGGUAUGGGCAAGGCAUGGUGGGGUGUUACACUUGUCCCCUGGGUCAUUUCAUAAAUAGUGCCCAGGAACAAGUGACAUUGUACAUGAUGGCGUCGCGGUACAGCUGUCUCGUCCGCGGUAUGGCCGUCUCAUCGGGGUCUUGUCGGUGUCGGGCGGGCUGCAGUCGGCAGCCGGCUGGUUGGCGCAGUCGGUCAGCUGGCAGCCGGCCGGGUGGAGCAGUCGGCGGGGAGCCGGCAGGAGCAGCCGGGCAGUCGGACUGAGGGGCUUUGCUAGCCCCGAUGUCUUGAAAUAUUGUCUUGCCGUCUUCGGGGUACCCGUGGUCAAUUACUCCGUCAGUUUGAUAUUCCUUUUCUGCGAAACACUGAAAUAGGCAAAAAAAAACAGCAAUUUGCACUAGGCCUUUGGUUAGUAGGUUAGUCCCAAAAAUAAUAUAAAAGUGUAUAAUAAAGCCCAUUAAACAUCCAAAACAGAUAAUAUAAUAGCAUGGAACAAUCAAAAAUUAUAGAUACGUUGGAGACAUAUCAAGCAUCCCCAAGCUUAAUUCCUGCUCGUCCUCGAGUAGGUAAAUGAUAAAAACACAAUUUUGAUGUGGAAUGCUACCUAGCAUAAUUCUCAAUGUAAUUUUCUUUAUUGUGGCAUGAAUGUUCAGAUCCGAAAGAUUCAAGAUAAAAGUUUAAUAUUGACAUAAAAAUAAUAAUACUUCAACCAUACUAACAAAUCAAUCAUGUUUUCUCAAAAUAACAUGGCCAAAGAAAGUUAUCCCUACAAAAUCAUAUAGUCUGGCUAUGCUCUAUAUUCAUCACACAAAAUAUUUAAAUCAUGCACAACCCCGAUGAAAAGCCAAGCAAUUGUUUCAUACUUUUGAUAUUCUCAAACUUUUUCAAUCUUCACGUAAUACAUGAGCGUGAGCCAUAGACAUAGCACUAUAUGUGGAAUAGAAGGGUGGUUGUGGAGAAGACAAAAAGGAGAAGAUAGUCUCACAUCAACUAGGCGUAUCAACGGGCUAUGGAGAUGCCCAUCAAUAGAUAUCAAUGUGAGUGAGUAGGGAUUGCCAUGCAACGGAUGCACUAGAGCUAUAAGUGUAUGAAAGCUCAACAAAAAAAACUAAGUGGGUGUGCAUCCAACUUGCUUGCUCACGAAGACCUAGGGCAAUUUGAGGAAGCCCAUUAUUGGAAUAUACAAGCCAAGUUCUAUAAUGUAAAAUUCCUACUAGUAUAUGAAAGUGACAACAUAGGAGACUCUCUAUCAUGAGGAUCAUGGUGCUAUUUUAAAGCACAAGUGUGGUAAAAGGAUAGUAACAUUGUCCCUUCUCUUUUUUCUCUUAUUUUUUGUUUGGGCCUUUUCUCUUUUUUUGGCCUCUUUUUUUUCUUUUUUUCAUCCGGAGUCUCAUGCCGACUUAUGGGGGAAUCACAGUCUCCAUCAUCCUUUCCUCACGUGGGACAAUGCUCUAAUAAUGAUGAUCAUCACACUUUUAUUUACUUAUAACUCAAAAAUUACAACUCAAUACUUAGAACAAAAUAUGACUCUAUGUGAAUGCCUCCGACGGUGUACCGAGAUAUGCAAUGAAUCAAGAGUGACAUGUAUGAAAGAAUUAUAAAGGUGACUUUGCCACAAAUGUGAUGUUAACUACAUGAUCAUGCAAAGCAGUAUGACAAUGAUGAAACGUGUCAUAACAACGGAACGGUGGUAAGUUGCAUGGCAAUAUAUCUCAGAAUGGCUAUGGAAAUGCCAUAACAGGUAGGUAUGGUGCCAGUUUUGAGGAAGGUAUAUGGUGGGUGUAUGAUACCGGCGAAGGGUGCGCGGUAUUAGAGAGGCUAGCAAUGGUGGAAGGGUGAGAGUGCGUAUAGUCCAUGGACUCAACAUUAGUCAUAAAGAACUCACAUACUUAUUACAAAAAUCUAUUAGUUAUCGAAACGAAGUACUACGCGCAUGCUCCUAGGGGGAUAGAUUGGUAGGAAAAGACCAUCGCUCGUCCUCGACCGCCACUCAUAAGGAAGACAAUCAAUAAAUCAAUCAUGCUCCGACUUCAUCACAUAACGGUUCACCAUACGUGCAUGCUACGGGAAUCAUAAACUUUAACACAAGUAUUUCUCAAAUUCACAACUACUCAACUAGCAUGACUCUAAUAUCACCAUCUUCAUAUCUCAAAACAAUUAUAAAGAAUCAAACUUCUCAUAGUAUUCAAUGCACUUUAUAUGAUAGUUUUAUUAUACCUAUCUUGGAUGCUCAUCACUUUAGGACUAAUUUUAACCAAAGCGAAUUACCAUGCUGUUCUAAAAGACACUCAAAAUAAUAUAAGUGAAGCAUGAGAGAUCAAUAAUUUCUAUAAAAUAAACCACCACCGUGCUCUAAAAGAUAUAAGCGAAGCACUAGAGCAAAAUUAUCUAGCUCAAAAGAUAUAAGUGAAGCACAUAGAGUAUUCUAAUAAAUUCCAAUUCAUGUGUGUCUCUCCAAAAGGUGUGUACAGCAAGGAUGAUUGUGGUAAACUAAAAAGCAAAGACUCAAAUCAUACAAGACGCUCCAAGCAAAACACAUAUCAUGUGGUGAAUAAAAAUAUAGCCUCAAGUAAAGUUACCGAUAGACGAAGACGAAAGAGGGGGAUGCCUUCCAGGGCAUCCCCAAGCUUAGGCUUUUGGUUGUCCUUGAAUUUUACCUUGGGGUGCCUUGGGCAUCCCCAAGCUUAGGCUGUUGUCACUCCUUGUUCCAAAAUCCAUCAAAUCUUUACCCAAAAAUUUGAAAACUUCACAACACAAAACUCAACAGAAAAUCUCAUGAGCUCCGUUAGCGAAAACGCAAACUUCUGAACUCCAAAAAUUCUAAAAAAAUAGGAAGACCUAGAUAAUUUUAUUAUUAAACUACUGCAAUUUGAAUCAGUAUUUUAUCACUUUCUGGUGAUUUUUAACAAAUGUUUUCGUGAGCAGAAAGUUUCUGACUUUUUCAGCAAGAUCAAAUAAUUAUCACCCAAGAAGAUCCUAUUGGUUCUACUUGGCACAAACACUAAUUAAAACAUAAAACCACAUCUAAACAGAGGCUAGAUGAAUUAUUUAUUACUAAACAUGAACAAAAAACAAGGAACAAAAGUAAAAUUGGGUUGCCUCCCAACAAGCGCUAUCGUUUAACGCCCCUAGCUAGGCAUUGAUAGUUUCGAUGAUGCUCACAUGAAAGACAAGAAUUGAAGCACAAAGAGAGCAUCAUAAAACAUGUGACAAACACACUUAAGUCUAACAUACUUCCUAUGCAUAGACAUUUUAUAAGCAAACAAAUUAUCAAGGCAAGCAAAAACUACCAUAUGCAAGGAAGAAGAAAGAAACAAUAGCGAUCUCAACAUGAAGAGAGGUAAUUUAGUAACAUGAAAUUUUCUACAACCAUAUUUUCCUCUCUCAUAAUAAUUACAUGUUGGAUCAUAUUCAAAUUCAACAAUAUAGCUAUCACAUAAAAUUUUCUCUGCAUGAUCCACAUGCAUGCAAAGUUGACACUCUUCCAAAAUAGUGGGAAUAUCAUUAACUAAAGUCAUGACCUCUCCAAACCCACUUUUAUCAAAAAUACAUAAGAUUGAACAUUCUCCAAAUAUGUCGGAUCUAAAGUUGACACUCUUACAAACCCACUUUCAAUAUUAUUGCAAACACUAUUAUCAGUCUCAUAUUCAUCAUGGGGCUUAAAUAAAUUUUCAAGAUCAUAAGAAGAAUCACCCCAAUCAUGAUCAUUGCAACAAGUAGUAGACAUAGCAAAACUAGCAUCCCCAAGCUUAGGGUUUUGCAUAUUAUUAGCACAAUUGACAUCAAGAGAAUUUAUAGUAAAAUCAUUGCAAUCAUGCUUUUUAUUCAAGGAGCUAUCGUGAAUCUCUUCAUAAAUUUCUUCAUCACAAUUUUCAGAUUCACGAAUUUCAAGCAAAACCUCAUAAAGAUAAUCUAGUGCACUCAAAUCACUAGAAAUUGGUUCAUCAUAAUUGGAUCUCUUAAAAAUAUUAGCAAGGGGAUGCGGAUCCAUAAACUUUUAGCAAGCGAAGAUGCAAGCAAAAAGAAGGCACAUGGUAACACAAGAUCGAACGGAAGGAGGGCGAAGAAAAGGCAAAGAUGAAGGGGGGAGAGGAAAAUGAGAGGCAAAUGGCAAAUAAUGUAAUGCGAAGGAUAAGAGUUUAUGAUGGGUACUUGGUAUGUCUUGACUUGAGCGUAGAUCUCCCCGGCAAUGGCGCCAGAAAUCCGCACGUUGGUGGGAGAUCAAAUCUUGACUUGACUUGGCGUAAACCUCCCCGGCAACGGCACCAGAAAUCCUUCUUGCUACCUCUUGAGCAUGCGUUGGUUUUCCCUUAAAGAGGAAAGGGUGAUGCAGCAAAGUAGCGUAAGUAUUUCCCUCAGUUUUUGAGAACCAAGGUAUCAAUCUAGUAGGAGGUUACACACAAGUCGCCUCGUACCUACACAAACAAAUAAGAACCUUGCAACCAACGCGAUAAAGGGGUUGUCAAUCCCUUCACGGCCACUUGCAAAAGUGAGACCUGAUAGAGAUAAUAAAUAUUUUUGGUAUUUUUAUGAUAUAGAUUGGAAAGUAAAGAUUGCAAAAUAAAAGACGGAAGAAAUAGUAAAUUGAUAGGAAAAUAAUAUGAUGGAAGAUAUACCCGGGGCCAUAGGUUUCACUAGUGGCUUCUCUCAAGAUAGCAUAAUCUACGGUGGGUGAACAAAUUACUGUCGAGCAAUUGAUAAAAAAGCGCAUAGUUAUGAGAAUAUCUAGGCAUGAUCAUGUAUAUAGGCAUCACGUCCGCGACAAGUAGACCGAAAUGAUUCUGCAUCUACUACUAUUACUCCACACAUCGACCGCUAUCCAGCAUGCAUCUAGAGUAUUAAGUUCAUAAGAACAGAGUAACGCAUUAGGCAAGAUGACAUGAUGUAGAGGGAUAAACUCAAGUGAUAUGAUAUAAACCCUAUCUUUUUAUCCUCGAUGGAAACAAUACAAUACAUGCCUUGCUGCCCCUGCUGUCAUUGGGAAAGGACACCGCAAGAUUGAACCCAAAGCUAAGCACUUCUCCCAUUGCAAGAAAGAUCAAUCUAGUAGGCCAAACCAAACUGAUAAUUCGAAGAGACUUGCAAAGAUAUUUAAAUCAUACAUAUAAUAAUUCAGAGAAGAACCAAAUAUUGUUCAUAGAUAAUCUUGAUCAUAAACCCACAAUUCAUCGGAUCUCGACAAACACACCACAAAAAGAAUUACAUCGAAUAGAUCUCCAAGAAGAUCGAGGAGAACAUUGUAUUGAGAUCCAAAAAGAGAGAAUAAGCCAUCUAGCUAAUAACUAUGGACCCGAAGGUCUGUGGUAAACUACUCACAUAUCAUAGGAGAGACCAUGGUGUUGAUGUAGAAGCCCUCCGUGAUCGAUUCCCCCUCCGGCGGAGCGCCGAAAAAGUCCCCAAGAUGGGAUCUCACGGGUAUAGAAGGUUGCGGCGGUGGAAAUUGGGUUUCGUGGUGCUCUCGGAUGUUUUCGGGGUAUAUGAGUAUAUAUAGGCGAAAGAAGUAGGUUGGUGGAGCUACGAGGGGACCACGAGGGUGGGGGCGCGCCUCCCUGCCUUGUGGCCGCCUCGUUGCUACCUUGACGUCCACUCCAAGUCUCCUGGAUCAUGUUUGUUCCAAAAAUAACUCUCCCGAAGGUUUCAUUCCGUUUGGAUUCCGUUUGAUAUUCCUUUUCUGCGAAACACUGAAAUAGGCAAAAAAACAGCAAUUUGCACUGGGCCUUUGGUUAGUAGGUUAGUCCCAAAAAUAAUAUAGAAGUGUAUAAUAAAGCCCAUUAAACAUCCAAAACAGAUGAUAUAAUAGCAUGGAACAGUCAAAAAUUAUAGAUACGUUGGAGACGUAUCACGGAGUCCUGUUCGUAGCAGGGCGGCGACAGCCGGCCUAGAUCGACGGGCAAGCUGAUGCGCGAACGACGGCUAUGAUGGGCCGCUGCAUGGCGCGAGGCCGCCGAGUCGGGGCGGAGGCCGGGCGGUCGCGCAGGAGUUCCGGUCGGAGCAGGGCGGCGAGGCCGACGCAGAUCGUCGGGCGGGCCGGCGCGCAAACGACGAUUGGGAAGGGCCUGCGUGCAAACGACAACUAGGAAGGGCCGCAGCAUCGCGCGAGGCCGCCGGAUCGGGGAGGAGGCCGGGUGGUCGCGCCGGUGUCGGAGUAGAGGCGCGCGGGUGUUGAUGGCGGUGAUGGGCGACGCAAGCCGAUCUUAGAUCGGAAAACCAAAAAGAAACGCCGAUAAGACAACCGGCAAGAGAGAGAAAUCCGGAUCAAAGGAUCGGGAAAAAGACUCUGUAGGGCAGCCGGUCAACACGGCCGGCGGACGAACCCUAGGUACGGGCGGCAUGGCCCCCGGCGGCGGUCAUGGAAGCCGACCGCCCCGGGGACAGCGUGCAGGGCGGAAGCGGCGGGUGGCGGCUAAGGUUAGACCGGUUAGGCCAAUACCAUGUUAGAAGGGGGGAGAGAUAUUGGUGGAAUAGUUCGUUGUAUUGCUUAUAUAUAUAUAGGAGUACAAUGACUAACUUGAAGUACAAGACAAGCAAGGAUCAAAUCCUAGUCUAUCAUAUACUCCCUCCAUCCGAGAAAUCUUGUCUCAACCUUGCCCCUUAAAUGGAUGUAUCUUGCACUAACUUGUGCUAGAUACACCCAUUCAAGGGACAAGUAUUUUGGGACGGAGGAAGUACUUCCUAAUAAUCAUAUACUCAACUGUUGGGCUGGCAAUUUUCGUGCUGCAAUCAUGGCAAAUAUGGGAAAAAGCACAACAAUUACUGUGCUAAAGCAUGGCAAUUUCUUGACAAUUUUUUUAUACAACAUGAGAUUUUUAUUUAAAAACAAGACAAAUCCUUACGCAACAACAUGAUAAAUUACCUGUUUUCGCAUGGUAAUUCUGAAGCGUUCCCUGGGUGUGACCUUUCUGUGCGAGCGAAAGCGUUCGUCUACCUGGCUGAAAACGAUGGUUCGCUCGAGCGACCUUCCUAAGUGAACGUCAGCUCAUUACUCACGUCCAAACUCAUCCAGACGAGAAUUAGCAAAUCCGUAUUCCGAAAAUCAUCUGGAAAUUCGCUGUCUAUAAUCUCACGUUCAAUUAUCUCUAUGGAAACAGCCACCUCACGGCGUCCGAGGGCUCUCACGGGUAGAUACCAAAAAGGCUUUCGCCCCGAUUUAUAAAUAAAGCAACACCGAGCACAAAGUCCACAAGAUAUCAUCCGAAACACACACACCCAACGCCACCGCACGAAGGUCCAACACAAACGCACGAAACACAACACACAACACAGGUUCAGUUGUGGGCACAUCACAACAAGCCCAACAAAGCAACAAGGGACACACAGACAACAAACGGCGGCGGCGACGAUGAUGAAGAAGAGCUAAUCUGGCUCAGGCGGUGGUGGUGGGAGCGGCGGAGCCAUCCGGAGAGCCAUCGCGAAGCUGUGUGAUGAUGGAGGUGAUGCGUCUCUCUCCCUGGGGCGGCUAAGCGGCCGCCAAAGCUGCAAGUAACCAGACCAUUUGAACAAAGCGUCAGUAGCACGACGAAGAGGGAUACGCUGAAUCACAAGUUUAUUCCUAACAGUCCACAGCGUCCAGGCAAGGACCCCAAUGGUCAGCCNNNNNNNNNNNNNNNNNNNNNNNNNNNNNNNNNNNNNNNNNNNNNNNNNNNNNNNNNNNNNNNNNNNNNNNNNNNNNNNNNNNNNNNNNNNNNNNNNNNNNNNNNNNNNNNNNNNNNNNNNNNNNNNNNNNNNNNNNNNNNNNNNNNNNNNNNNNNNNNNNNNNNNNNNNNNNNNNNNNNNNNNNNNNNNNNNNNNNNNNNNNNNNNNNNNNNNNNNNNNNNNNNNNNNNNNNNNNNNNNNNNNNNNNNNNNNNNNNNNNNNNNNAGUUGGUAUGAACCCAGCUUCCACCCACAAUCUCGCGGAAACAGCUCCAUAGGAACUGCGCAGACACGCAGGUGAAGAAGAUAUGGUUCGAAUAUUCUUCAGGCCCACAGAACAGGCAACGCCCAUCACCAGGGCCAUUGCGCUUCAGAACCUCAACGCCAGAAGGGAGGCGGGCGCGAAUCCACUGCCGCAGGAAGAUCCUAAUUUUCAAGGGGAGGCGAAUCUCCCAAAUGGAGGAAAGAGCCUCAUGGCCGAGCGAGGGGGCGAUGGCUAGAUAGAGGGAUUUGGUGGAGAAUUGACCGGACGGCUCGAGGCGCCACCUGGCGCGGUCAUCGUCAGACGUGAGAUCCGGCUCAUGAAGAGCAAUACAGUCAAGCAACUCCUGCCAGUCCGCAUUCUCAGCAGGACCAAAAGGCCUCCGGAACGCAAGGCGCCCUAAGUCAAUAAGGGCGGUCGCCACGGAGAUCUGAGGGGCAACUGCGAUGGAGAACAGGUCCGGAAAGCGGGCCGCCAGGGGUGUGUCACUAGUCCAGCGAUCGAACCAGAACAGUGUGGCGGUGCCGGAACCAAUCUCGAUCGAGGUCCCGAUCCGGAGGACAGGGAGGAGCUAAAUGAUGAAUUGCCAGAACUAGGAGCCCCCAGAUCGCUGACAGAAGGCGAGAGGCUGGCCUCGGAGGUAUUUCUGCCGAAUAAUGCGCAGCCACAGGCCACCAUCUCCGUUGCUAAUCCUCGAGAGCCACCGAGUCAGAAGGGCAAUAUUCAUGCGUUUGGAGGACAUGAUCCCGAGGCCGCCUUGGUCGCGAGGUUUGCAGAUCUCAGACCACCUGACCAUGUGGUAUUUCUGCUUAUCUCCCUCGCCGGCCCAGAAAAAGCGCCCCUGAACGGUGGCAAUCUCGUGAUGAAGAGUCUUCGGAAGGCUGUAGAAGCUCAUGAUGAAUAAUAGGAGGCUAGAGAGGGACGAGUUAAUGAGCACCGAACGGGCCACUUUCGAGAGCCACCGACCCUGCCAGGGCUCGAUCCGGUGUUGGAGCUUCCCCACCGUGGGGCGCAGCUCGGCCACCGUAAGCCUGAUGUCACUAAUGGGUAUCCCCAGAUAAGUCGUGGGGAAGCACCCAAGCUGGCAGUUAAGCCAGUCCGCUAUGCUCUAUCACUCGUCUUGGGCGUAGCCCAAGAUCAUAACCUCACUCUUGUCGAAGUUGAUUCUAAGGCCGGACAUCUGCUGGAAGCACAAUAAGAGGAACUUGAGGUUCGAGAUAUCACUCUUAGAGCCCUCCACCAUGAUAAUGGUGUCGUCUGCAUAUUGGAGGAGAGAGACCCCACUGUCUCCAACAAGGUGCGGGACAAUCCCCUUAAUGUGUCCCGCCGCCUUGGCCUUAUCGAGUAUGGCCACCAGCGCAUCAACAACUAUGUUGAACAGGAAUGGGGAGAAGGGGUCGCCCUGGCGGACCCCACAGAACGUGGGGAAGAAUGGGCCGAUCUCCCCAUUAAUGUUCACCGUUGUGCGGCCUGAAGAUACCAUCUGCAUUACUCUGGUCACCCACCGAUCGUCGAAGCCUUUCCGAAGCAAACAUUCCCGAAGGAAGGUCCAGCUGACCGUGUCAUAAGCCUUGUCGAAGUCCAGUUUCAGGAAGACUGCCUUGAGGUGUUUGGAGUGCACCUCAUGGAGAGCUUCGUGGAACACUAGGACUCCAUCAAGGAUAUAGCGGCCCUGGAUGAAGGCCGACUGAUCAGGGUGAGUGAUCCGAUCAGCUAUAGGGGCCACCCUAAUGGCGUACCCCUUGGCUAGGAUGCGGAAGAUGACGUUAAUCAUUGUAACGGCCGGAAUUGCCGGAUGUCCGAGGCACCCGUCACCUUAGGGAUGAGAGUGAUUACCCCAUAGUUCAGCCGGCCGAGGUCAAUGGUCCCAGCCAUGAACUCGUCGAAUAGGGCCAUCACCUCGGGUUUGAUCACCUCCCAGAAGGUCUGGAAGAACUUCACUGGGAGGCCAUCCGGGCCUGGGGCCGAGGAGGGGUUCAUGCCCUUAAUAGCCGCCCAAACAUCCUCCUCCGAGAACGGGGCCGUGAGGGCCGCGUUAUCCGCAGACGAGACGCAGUAGUGGGCAGGCCAAAUAUCUUGCGCAAGGGCAAGACCUCCAUGAGGGAAGGCAGAGAAUAGGUCUCGGUAGAAGCCAUCAACAUGCGCCCGGAUGUCCUCCGGUCGCUGAAGAAGGGUCGGACCAUCCCAUAGGAGGGGGAUGGAAUUGCGGCGCCUACGGCCAUUAGCAAUAGCCUGGAAGUAGGUAGUAUUAGCGUCCCCCUUGAGGACCCAAUUCUGCGUACCUCGCAAGCGCUAGUAAGCCUCCUCGUAAGUGUAGAUGACCGUGAGCUGAUCUUCCAAGUCGUACCUAAGCAUCCACUCGUCUGCCGAAAGACCAGCGGUGUCAGCCCACAGGUCGAGGGCCUGGAUGCCCUCAAGGAGAGCCUUCUUCCGCUCGCGAAUGUCCCGACCCACGUUAGCGCCCCAUCCUUUCAUGAAUUGUCGCGACCGCUUGGCGCAGAAAUGCCAAGAAUCGACGGCCAACAGGGCCCUAUGGGGGGCGUCCCUCGCCUCACGCCACCUGGCGACCACCGCGACGGUGAAGCUUGGUUGGCGCAACCAGAACGUCUCGAAACGGAAGCGUGGUGGCAGAGGGGGGCGCUCAUUCUCCGAACAGAGGAGAAGGGGCACGUGGUCGGAACCAAUCCGCGUGAUUGCUCGUAGCGAUGCUAGGGGACACCUAAUGUCCCACUCAGGGGAGGCGAAAACUCGAUCGAGGACCGAGCGAGUCGGAUCAACUUGGCGGUUAGUCCACGUGAACCUGGCCCCGACACGAUCGAGUUCCCGCAGCCCCAUAUCAGCGAUGCAAUCAUUGAAUAAUUGCAUCCGAGGAAAGUUCACUAGAUUAUUGCUCUUGUCUUCUUCCGUCCGGAUGAGGUUGAAAUCGCCGCACACUACUACCGGAAACUGGGCCGAUGCAACCUUCCUUCGGAGCUCAGCGAGGAAGGUCUCCAACCUGCGGUGGUCGGCCGGACCAUAGACCGCAAUGAUCUCCCAUUUUAAAUUUAGGGACCUUUCGAAGAUCUCCAUGCUAACAAAGAACUCGCCCUGGUCCAUGCCCCCAACCUCAAGGGUGGCAUCCUUCACACCUAGGAGGAUGCCACCCGAGUGACCUGUACUCCCACUAGAAGGGAGCCAGUGCCAGGCGAACAGGUCGGAGCUCAGAUGCUCAAGCUCCGACAGGGAGAAUUCAGUAUGCAUCGUUUCUUGAAUGGCUACCAUGUCGAUUCGCUCGGUGCGCAUGUACUCAAUGAGUUGGCGGCGCCGACCAUCUUGGCCGAAACCGCGGAUGUUCCAGAAUAAGGCUCGCAUCACGCAUCCAUCGGGGGGCUGCUUGACCCCAAGACACGUGACGCGCUCUGGGCGCGGAGGGCGGCGGUACGGGAGCGAGUGCGGCCCCGGAUCUCAGCCGGGGCGGCCGACGCGCAGGAAGAGGCGCUCGGGGUGGUCCCAAGCGGUGCUCCAGCGGCGGGGGGAGGGCGUGCACGGGCCUCGGCGAGCCGACCAUCAAGGAUCUCCCGUGCACGGAUGGCUUCUAUCUGGACUAGCGAGGGGGCAACCUCCCCGCGGAAGACUAUGGCCGAGUCCGCUGCCACCUUAGCGAGGUGGCCAAGCGGAGCCGACUCCAAAGCAGAAAAGGAGCACGUAGCAGAGGUGGCCGGGAUGAUUAAGUACCUGACUCGAGGUUCCGGGCAGCGGCCCGGAGGGCGGCCAGCUCGGGGAUGGGAAGGGCCGGGCCACCCGUCGGCCUGGCCGCCUCAAUCCGAGCACUGCGGCGCGAAGAGGACACCGAGGACGAGGUCGAACGUCCCCUCCUGGAGUAGGCCGCGGUCCGAGGGGGAGGGGGGCCGGCCACUGGAGUGGUCACUACCACCGCCAGGCCCGCGGAAGUAGAGCUCGAAGGCGCCAGGAGAGGAGCAGGGGUCGUCACGCAGGGAACGCCAGGGGAGGGAGGAGGGUCCGCAUGUGCGUCAUCCCCCACGGGCGGACUGACCGGCCGAGCCGGAGAGCCAGGAGCGACCGCCGGAGGCACCGGAAGAGGCGAAGCCGGGUCCGGGGCCGAGACCCCCAGCAGCGCCAAGUGAAGGUCGAGCGCGGUGGGGGUCGGGUCGGGCAGCGCCGGGUUGGCCCUGGCUGGAGAGGAGGCGAAGAUGCCGAGGGAGAUGUCGUCGGGGGAGCGGGGCGAAGAAGCCGGAAAGACCUGGAGGCUGACAUCAGAAGCAUCGAGUCCGUCAUCGGUGGACAGGGGGGCCACCGCGUGGGUACGACCCGCCCCACCCCCACCCCUGGCGGCCGGCACAGGCGGCUAGGCGUGGUGGGGGCUGUCCUCGGAGUCGUCGUCGUCAUCGUCCGAGCCAGAGGGGUGGCCGUGACGAGGGUCGUGGUCGCUGCGGUGGCCACCGGCGCCACCCCCAUCUGGGCCGCCCCCUAGGAAGCUGUCGUCGAUGCGAGGGUGGCCAAUGUGGUUGGGGGGCUCGGGGGAGAUGUGGAGGUCAAAGCCCUGGUCGUUGAAGAACACUCGGAUGGUGGCACGGAGCUUGGAGGAGUCGAGAGAUUUGACCUUAACCCGGACCUCCUCCUCCUUACGGAGGGAGAGCUCAUCGACCACCACCACCUUGCCGAGGAUGCGAGACAUGUUCCGAAUGACCUGCUCCGAGCGGGCGAUGUCCGGGAGGCCACCAAUGAGGAUCCAGGCCGUGUCCAAGACCGCGACCGCCAAGGGGUCCCGCACCGGCACGGAGAUGUCCACCACUAACUUGUUGAGGGCUAGGGUGAUGUCUCCGCUGCGGGUGCCGUACCCAUGGCUGACCGCGUCCGGGAAGACGACCGAGAACUGACCUCCAGAGAGUAAGGUGACCUGCCAAUCCCAGGUGCAGAGGUAGAGGUGGUUGAGCUCGGCCUCAAUCAUCUCCGGCGAGGCCACCCCAUCCUUCACAGUAACAAUGGCCAGGAGCGAUGGUGAGGGGGCGGGGAUGUCGGGCACCUCGAUGUGGAAGUAGCCAAGGCCCUCGAUCCCGUGCCCGUACAUCAUCAGCUCCUCCGCCACCGGGCGGUCAGGGCAAAGGAAGGCGGGGUGGUCCGGGUCCGAGCAGUGGUAGCAACACUGAGGGCGAGUACAUGCCACCUGGGAGUGGCCGGAGAGGCCACAGUUAAAGCACUUGACGAGGUCGGAGGAGCGGUCGUCGGGGAGGAGAGUGGUCGUAGUUGAGGCGGCGAGAUCCCGGGGGCGCCGUUAGCCGGGGCAGAGCUGUUUGCGCGCCCAAGCCCGCGCUUCUUCCUGCGCUUGCCCUCGGGCCGGCCCCGUCCCGCCCCAUUGCCGACCGGGGGGAGACUCGGCUCGCUCCGAGGUGGCUGGUAGCGGCGGACCGCGGCGACAGCGGGAGGAGGGGCCUGCUGCCCAUGGGAGCGGCCAGGGGAACGAGCGUGGCCUCCCCGGGCCGGGGAGCGGCUGGCAUCCCGACGGGGCGGAGGGGGAGGCGACCGGCGACGAGCAUCGCGUUGGUCCGCGGCUGGGGAAGGCGAGCGGGAGCGGGAUCGGCCACGGCGGUCCGCGCGAGGGGAGAACGGCGAGAGGGGGACCGGUGGUCGUCGUAGGCGGGAGACCGGCGGUCGCCACGGGAGGAUAGCUAACGGCGGAGCUCGGACUCAUGGCGCACCGCGUCGGGGGACGGGCGGAAGGAGUCACGGCUCCUCCGCAUGGGAGGAUUCAGGGCGGCGGUCGUCGGCGCGCUGCUUGGGGCGCGUCCCCGCGUCGUGCCACUCGCGGGUCAUGGGGGCCGCGGCGAGUUCGGCGGUGACGAGGGAGGGAGCGAGGAGUUGGCGGCGGGGGUCGGAAGAGCGAGGGUUAGGGCACGGGAGGAAUGGGAUGGGGGCGAGGUAAGCCCGAAGGUAGCCAGAUAGGCCUGAUGGCCGGGCAGGCCGGCCCACCAAUACCGCAGCUAAAGCUGGGCCCAGAAGCGGAGCUGCCAGCCCAUGCCCAUGGCCCAAAUCUCGGCCCAGCACUAGGGCGGCCCACGACCAGGCGUCCCAGCCCGCGAGACGGGGCAGCAGCGGCUAGGGUAUCCCCUCGUGCUGCGACCACCGCCGCAGCCGCGACCGGCGCCGGUGCAGGGGCUCCAGUGUCCAUGGGGCAACGACGGGGGUGGCUGGGCGAAAAACGAAGCGAGGAGGUGUCAAAAGCUGCGAUGAACGGCCGAAACGGCGAGGAGCGGGUGACCACCGGCCGGGAUGACGCCGCCGGGGAGGAGGGAGGCCGAGAGCCAGAGGGGGCUGCCGCCGCGCGCCAAGAGGACCGGGCACGACCCAGAUCGGACCGCCCCGCGACGCCCCACGCCGGAGCGCCGCGGCGGCGAGCGGUACGCGAGCCAAGGUCGGCCCUUUGGUCAGGCUUCGGGAGGAGGGGGGGCGCUACCGGCCAGCGAGCAUGGGGUGGGGAGGGGGCUCCCCGUCUACGUCGACCAGCGUCGGGCGCAGCACAGUCCGGCGAGCCGGAGGUGUGCGCCGGACGGUGGGACGGCCAGCGGUGGAGUCCUCAUCCUCCGCCAAGUCGCCCAGCGCAGCGGCAUGGACUCCCCGACGGGGGCGGCGGAGCACGGGGCGAGCGGCCCAGCGGCCAGCGUCCGCGGGGCGUCGGGAGGCGGGGGGGCGGUAGAGCAGUCCGGGGCAGUGCAGGGCUGCGGAGGUGGCGGCGCAGGCGAGCAAGCCGCGGCCGGCGCGGCGCCGACGGGGUCGCGGGAGGAGAGCGCCAGGCGCGUGCGGUGCGGUUGCGCCGCCGCCUACUUCCCACCUUCCCGCGCGCAUAAAUCCCUGCGCCUCCCCUGUCUUGCCCGUCUUCCCCGAGGCCGGAAAUCAAUCCCGUCCCGGAGCAAUUCCGGCCGCCGCUUCUCCUGGCCUUGCCUCGAAAGGUUCGCCGACGCCAACCGUGUCUGCUCACCCACUCCCACGCGCUGCCUCUGGCUAGUCCUGUGCUGUUGCUGCCCUCUGCGGCGUUUGGUCGAACAGCUGGUGGGUCGGGUGUGGUCGUCCUCCCGGCGCCGCGGCUGGCGGGAUCCCGUGGCGUCUCGCGUUGGAUUCGAUGGCUGAGUAGUACGACGAAACCUGACUGAAGUAGAGUAGAGUAGUAGAUUGCGACGGAUUCCCGCAUCCAUCAUUCGAGGUAGUUGCCACAGACCCGGAGGCCCAUGUGCGCGACCAGAACGGAACAGCCAACUACCUCUACCUGCACGCGGCGUACCUCCCAUCUGCUUCCCGCCACCAUAAAUCCUUCUGCCUGUGCUGCCCCUCAGCUCCCUCCUCCCCUCCCGGAGCAAUUCCGCCCCCGCCUCGCCUCGCCUCGGAAGGUUCGCCCGUCGCUCACACAUGAAUGCACCCACUGCCACUCCCACGCACUGCCUCCUCUAGCAUUCUGCUCUCUGCGGAGUUUCGUCGAACAGCUGGUGGGUGUUGCCCCCGGCGCCGCGGAUCUGCCGCUCAGCCAGCGGGAUCCCGCGGUGUCUCGCGCCUCGUGUUUUGAGUUUUUUGGGUGGGAACGGGUUGCUGCUUGCUUGCUGCGUUUGAUCCGAAUUCGACCGAGAAAUGCCCCCCCUGUGGCGCGAGUUUUGCUUCGUAUUUGGCAGGUUGCUGCCUUGUCGUGUGUGUUUUGUCGGUUUGGGGCUCUGGCGCAAAUCCAUUUGGUCAGCCCAGGUCCAGGUGUUAAGGUCCUUUUUUAGUCGCUGCUAUAAACUGCUCUUUAGGGAUCUUGAUGCAAGCGCGGACUUAGUAUACUACUCUAGUUUUUACUGUGGAUUCGAAUCUUCUCUUGGAGGGGCGAACAUAGUUUAAACAUUCAAGUAGUUGGGCGAUUGUGGAAUGAAAUGUGCUCGUGCGUCAUGUUUGCUUGAGAUCCGGUCUUCUUCUCAGAUCUUCUCAACAACUUUAUAUCCUAUUGGUUUUGAGGAUCAGACAACUUGAUCCUGAUUUAGUCGCCAGAAGUAGUGAACUGAAUAUGCUGGUGCAUCGUGUUUGAGAUCAGGUGCAGUGUGCAGAUGCCAGCCUCCUUCUAUGGUAUACUUAUAGCCGGAUCAAGCAAUCUAAUCCCUUAGAUUAGAUUCUCGGAGUGUCCUGUUUUAGCAGUAUUCACAACAGUGAUUUGACACUAGGUUUGGGAAUGAAAUGUCACUUGGACCAAGUGCCUGGUCACUUUUGGGUGAAUUUGACAUGAAUAUGAACUUUAUGCUAGGUGUUUAUGCUUUUCUAGUUUUUGUCUAGUUAUCGUGUUGGAUGCUGGGCUUAUGCUUGACAUAUCAUAUCAACAUUUCUUUCAUUCUAUUCUGGUACUUUGAUGACUUGUAGGGUAGGGGGCUUACGAUUUAUGGUUUUCUGAAUAGUAGCUAUUACUGUGGUUAUCAUGGGCUAAUACCUGUUAAUUUUCAGGGGAAGUAAAUCAUGGCGACUGGUCAAAUUUUCUCGAAAACCACCCAAGCGCUAUUCUAUAAUUAUAAGCAACUUCCUAUCCAGCGGAUGCUUGAUUUUGACUUCCUCUGUGGUAUAUAUUCUCCCUAUCAUUGGUUUAAAAGGAUUGUAUAGUGUUUCUGUUUGGCUUCUUUCUUACUGAACUUGCACUGCCUGAUAGGGAGAGAAACACCUUCUGUUGCUGGAAUCAUCAAUCCUGGUUCUGAUGGGUUCCAGAAACUGUUUUUUGGACAAGAAGAAAUUGCUAUUCCAGUUCAUCCUACGUGAGCUCUCUGCUCCCUCAUUUAUCUUGUUUGAUUGAACAAGAGUGCGGUUCUUAUUUCAGAUGGAGGGAUAUUACAUUAGCAGUUUGCUAGCUCAAUAUUCAUGUGUGAACAAUUUAUCUAUUCAUGUAUAUUUUGUAGAAUUGAAGCUGCUUGCAAUGCACACCCAACUGCGGAUGUGUUUAUCAACUUUGCAUCCUUCCGGAGGUUAGUUAUAGCAUUGAUAAUCUGUCUGAGAAAUACUGCAUGAUCUUGAGCAACUACAAUUUCACUGUAUUUUCUAAAUCUGCAGUGCGGCUGCUUCUUCAAUGUCAGCUUUGAAGCAGCCAACUCUCCGAGUUGUAGCCAUUAUAGCAGAGGGAGUUCCUGAAUCAGACGCAAAGCAGCUAAUUAGUUAUGCACGUGCUAACAACAAGGUAUGGAUUAUAUUUUACAUGGAAUUACUGCUUUUAAGUUUGGGUGUGAUCACCGGUUCUCAUCAUAAAGUGCUUAGAGUAAGAGAAUUUCAUACUCCCUCCGUCCCAAAAUAAGCGACUCAACUUUGUACUACCUUUAGUACAAAGUUAGUACUCCUUAUAGAUACAUAUUUUGGGAUGGAGGGGGUAUUAAUUAGUGAAGGAGUAUAUCCUUAUAGAUACAUUUGUAAACUAAAUGAUGGCUUGUGAGCUUGAGAGCAUUUGCUUUUUCUGGUAAUGCAGGCUGACAGUGGCCUGCAUAUUUAUUGUUUAUUUUUGCUAAGUGAUUUAGUGUUAUUUGUAGGUCAUCAUUGGACCUGCAACAGUUGGAGGAGUUCAGGCUGGUGCUUUCAAGAUUGGUGAUACUGCUGGAACCAUUGAUAACAUAAUUCAAUGCAAGCUGUACAGGCCCGGAUCAGUUGGUUUUGUGUCUAAAUCGGUAUGCUUCAAUUCGUUGUUAAUAAACUUACUUCCUUCAUCACAUGUAUUUCUGUAUGAUUCAUGUCCAUAAAUAAAGUAACAGAAUAAAAAGAACGGUCCAUUGUUUCUGUAAAGACAACUUUUUGUUUACAUAUGGGGAGCGAACUUUAGAACAGCAUUAUGAUGCUUCAGCUUUUAUCUUUUUAUUUGGAAAAAUGUGGAGAGCUCCUGACUUUCCCUUUGUUUUCAUUCCAGAACUCCACUUCUUUAAUUUGACGACUGAUUAGUAUAUAUUCUCAGCUGUAUAUUUUGAAUACUCAUUACAAACUGAACUUCCAUUACUUCAAUAGGGUGGCAUGUCAAAUGAGCUGUACAACACCAUUGCAAGAGUGACUGAUGGUAUUUAUGAAGGUACCUUGUUUGUGAAUAAAUGUAAAUGUCACAUUCACUGAUUCACAUGAAUAAUGCUCCCAUGCUAACUUUUUCUUAACACAUUCAGGAAUUGCAAUUGGGGGAGAUGUUUUCCCUGGCUCAACUCUUUCAGAUCACAUUCUGCGUUUUAAUAACAUACCUCAGGUUUGACACUUAACAUCUCUAUAUAGAAAUAGAUAGUGUUAACCUUCUUGCUGUAGUGUAUGAAUAUUCAUCAUCUUUGUCACACAAGUGUCCUGCGAUUAUAUUUUUCUUCUCUGGCAUGAUUGGACACCCACAGGAUGUCACUGUUACAUGUUCGUUUGUCACAUCCUUUUUGUCUUCUAACUUUCGGAGGCUACUCCUUUACGAUAACUUUGGGCUAUCCCAUUUAAAUUUCUGGGACAAUGUUUGUUUGGCGCACAAGUACGCUUUCAUGAUAAUUCCAUUCCUCCAUUACUUGUAACCCAAGUCUGGAUUCUGAUCACUGGUGUAUCAACAUCUCAUUUGUUGGCUUUAGGUUAAAAUGAUGGUUGUUCUUGGGGAGCUUGGAGGAAGUGAUGAGUAUUCGCUCGUCGAGGCCUUGAAACAAGGAAAGGUUCAGAAACCUGUUGUUGCUUGGGUUAGUGGGACAUGCGCACGUCUAUUCAAAUCUGAGGUCCAGUUUGGCCAUGCUGUAAGUUGUAAACAAAUUGGUGCUCUUUUCCGGUGAGCUGAACAAUACACUCAGUAUGCACAGAUGCAGUUUAUUUAUUAAUUUUGAUAUUAUAACAGGGUGCGAAGAGCGGUGGUGAGUUGGAAUCCGCACAAUCUAAGAAUCAGGCACUAAGGGAUGCUGGGGCAGUUGUCCCUACUUCAUUUGAAGCUCUUGAAAGUGUGAUCAAGGAGACAUUCGAGAAGCUGGUACCUCACGACUGAUGUUUUUUGCAAGUAUUUUUUGGGGAAUGUUUAGUGGGAACCAAAGCUUGGGGUUAUAUAUAUUUUUUGCAGGUUGAGGAAGGAAAUAUUCCUCCUGUCCCUGAGGUUACACCUCCCCCCAUUCCUGAGGAUCUUAACACUGCCAUCAAAAGUGGGAAGGUCCGAGCUCCCACGCACAUUAUCUCCACUAUCUCCGAUGAUAGAGGUCAGAUUGGUGUCAACAUGUUAUCCUACAUAUGCUUGAUAAUUGUCCUUUGCCCUGCUUUCUCUCCCCGAAAAUAAUAAAUGUGCAUAUGUAUGAUGCAGGUGAGGAACCUUGCUACGCUGGUGUGCCCAUGUCUACUAUUAUUGAAAGGGGUUAUGGAGUUGGUGAUGUUAUUUCUCUUUUGUGGUUCAAGCGUAGCCUUCCUCGUUAUUGUACUCAAUUUAUUGAGGUAAUUUGUGGGUUAAAUGUAACAUGGAUAGUCUAUCUUCCCUACAAAAGCUCUAACAUGCUGUGAUAAUUUCCCCCUUCUAUAUCUAGAGAUUCACUUGGUCCUAAUAAGGUUUCUUCGUAUGUCUGACAGAUAUGCGUGAUGCUUUGCGCUGAUCAUGGUCCUUGUGUAUCCGGUGCUCACAAUUCUAUAGUUACUGCUAGGGCUGGAAAGGACCUUGUUUCCAGCCUGGUAUCUGGUGAGCUUGUUUAAUUGAUGCAUGCGAACCUGUACCAUUAUGUACAUAACAGCAUUCUGAGACUUAUGGUUGGAAUAACACAGGAUUGUUGACAAUUGGCCCCCGAUUUGGUGGUGCAAUUGAUGACGCCGCUCGGUACUUCAAAGAUGCAUAUGAUAGGGUGGGCCAUCUUAUUUCAUAUCCCUUUAUUUUUAUUCUCAGCUCUGGUUUUCAUUUGUUUCUUAAUUGAUCUUAUAAACUACAUCAAUUGAUUCUAGGGUCUUAUGCCUUAUGAAUUUGUUGAGGGCAUGAAAAAGAAGGGAAUCCGUGUCCCUGGGAUUGGUCACAGGUAUAAUACCCCCUUGGCAUCGUAAUAAACUUGCACCUGAAAAUGGACUUAAGACAUAAGUUGAUUGUUUUUAAUGUACAAGCUCUGAGUUAUGCUGUUGUCUUUUCUGAAAUUUCACUUGCAUGUCGUUAUUAGGAUCAAAAGCAGAGACAACAGGGACAAGCGAGUGCAGCUUUUACAGAAAUAUGCUCACGCACACUUCCCUUCAGUCAAGUACAUGGAGUACGCUGUUCAGGUUGAGACCUACACCCUGUCAAAGGCCAACAAUUUGGUUAUGAAUGUUGACGGCGCAAUCGGCUCGCUUUUCUUGGAUCUUCUUUCUGGGAGUGGAAUGUUCAGCAAGCAAGAGAUCGACGAGAUUAUAGAGAUUGGGUAUCUUAAUGGACUCUUUGUGCUUGCACGUUCAAUUGGCCUAAUUGGGUAAGUCUCGCUCUUUUACAAUGAUAAAUGUAGCUAAGUACUCCCUCCGUCCCAAAUUACUUGUCGCUCAAAUGGAUGCAUCUAGCACUAUUUUAGUGCGUGCUAGAUAUAUUCAUUUGAGUGACAAGUAAUUCCGGACGGAGAUACUACCUCCGUCCUGGUUUAAUGGUCCCGUUCGUAUUUUGUGCCAAAUUUUCACCUUAGAUUUAACUAUGAAAAUGCUAAUGCAUGUCACCAAAAAUAGCAUCAUUGAAAACUAUGUACAAAUAUGAAUCCAAGGAUAUAAUUUUUGGUCACAUGCAUUCAUAUCUUAUUAGUUAAAUCUUUGGUCAAAGUUUUACACAAAAUACAAAGGGGACCAAUAAACCAGGAUGGAGGUAGUAGUACAUUAUUGUUACCCUAGUUACAUUUUAUUUUUUUUCCACAUUUCCAAUCUGCUUCUUGGAUUCACAGGCACACCUUUGACCAGAAGAGGCUCAAGCAACCACUGUACCGUCACCCUUGGGAGGAUGUCCUCUACACCAAAUGAGGCAGCAUAUUGGUCUUCCACCUGUGUGUACACCAUAAAAAUAAAAUCGGGCAUAACUGCAUAGAAUUCAAAAUUCUUACUGUUGAUGGAACUAGGCGAGGAGGGAUACAAGACCGUUACAGAUGAAAGUUUGUUUCAUUUUUUUUUAUUCGACCAUGAAAGCAUUAGGGCAUGAGAUAUUGGAUACUUGAUAGUUGUUUCAAGUUAUCAUCAAUUAAGUGGCUGUCAAAUUUAGUUCAGACAUCUGGGGAAAAUUGUAAUGAUUGUGAUUCUAGUUCCCCAUCACAAAACUCUGAAUUAUCUACAUUAUCAAUUUUAUGGAAAUCAAAUAUGCACGUGUUGCUGCUUCGAGCUCUAGUCGAUUGAUCGAUCCCAAACUUAUUGGCAUGUGCUUCCCGUCAUCGCUACAGUAUACUCUCUCUGUUCAUUCUUAUAAAAUGUUUUGGAUAUUUCAAUAUAGACUGCAUACGGAUUGGAACGAGUGAACGCACACACUAGAAUGCGUCUAUAUACAUUCAAUUCAGAACAUCUUAUAACAGUGCACGGAGUGAGUGCCAUAUAAUGGUAUCCAUUUAAAAUCUUUUAUGUGUUUGAUAUGUCUAUCUUCUGUUGAUUCACAGCACCAGCCACUGUCCCUGCCAGGCUGCACUAGAAGCAUACAUGUGCUUUGAUGCGCUGUUUUCUCCUUUAAUCGUUGUGUUUGUUGUAUUAUAUAUUGUUCAAUAAAUUAAAUAUCUUAAUAACAUGAUAACAUACCGAAAAGAAAAUGGUAUGCAGGAAGGCCCAGUUUCGUGAUGCAAUUUAUCUGUUUUAACCUUAUGACAUGUCUAUUUUGAUUUCUGUCACAACUUAUACCAUGCCUUAGUUGUUCCUGGUGUGGUGACUUGGAAGGCCCAGCUUCAAUUUAUUGUUGAGAUCUUGAUCUUUGCUAGGGAUAUAUUCCUUCCGUCUCAAAUAAGUGACGUUGAUUUAGUAUAUUUUGUACUAACUUUGUACUAAAUCAGCGACACUUAUUUGAGAUGGAUACUUUGUAUUAACUUUGUACUAAAUCAGCGACACUUAUUUAAUACAAAUGGAGUAUAUGGCAGUACUAAAUGCAUACCCAACAACCCUUCACUCCUCGUGCUUCCGGCCAUAUUUUGUCACGCAUUAACACACCUCAAGCUAAGUCAGUGUUUGGUUUUAAUCACAAAUUGACAACACUUUUUUUACCCGCAAAAGGAAAAACUAUAGCAAGGCUAGCUUACAACCCCCUAUGAAGUUUUUUAGCUCGGCCAUGUCAUAUGUUUGCAUUGUUUGCUUUUAGGUCGCUUUUUUCUUUGCGGAAUUUGCAUUGUUUGCUUUUAGGUCGCUGGCCAGAUGUACCGCGUGGUUAAACACACCCUAAUUAAGACAUGAUCAUACUCCCUCCUUUUUCACUUACUCGGCAUAUUAGCUUUGUCUGAAGUGAAUAUAAACUUUGACAAAAUUUAUAAAGAAAAAUAUUAACAUAGACAAUACCAAAUCAAUACCAUUACAUACAUCAUUGAAUAUAAUUUCACAUCAUACAAUUUUUUUAUUGUAAAUGUUCAUAUUGUUUCUGUAAAUUUGACCAAACUUUAUAAGGAAUGACUUCGGUCAAAUUUAAUACACGGACUAAAUAAAAACGAAGUGAGUACCUGUGAUGAGCUCUUUUUUCUGUCUCUUCUGCUGAUCUCUGGGAUUCAUCAUAAUAUAAGAGCAUUUUUUACAUUAAUAUAGUGUUGAAAACCUUUUUGUAUUGUGACACGAAGAGAGUACUUACGAAAAGGAAAACCAUUAUAAUGAGGAAAAAUAUCGUACUGUGCAUGCAUGCGACGGGGCGAGCAGCCUGUGUCCUUGUCGCUGCACCAUUCACUCCUCGUGCUUUGCUUUCAGAUGAUCGGAUCCAGCACCCAAAUGAUGCGAAAAGGGAAAGGCGUCGUCUGGGCCUACUGCAUGAAUCUAUUUUCUUUCUCACACGAAGCAGACUGUUGGUACUCGUAGAGAAGAGAGUCCAUUGGCCCACCGGUUGCUGCCGUACGCAUUUGCCAUGAAGCGCCGUCGUUUCCAGAUGCCAUCUCACCGGAUAAGAAGCAAACGCUCUUCAUCAUUCUUCCUCAUUAUUUGCAAGCUUGCCAACACCAACCGAUCCGACAAAUGCCCUGUUAGGAGCAUCUCCAGUCGAGUCAGGCGCCUCGGACCGGCCCAAAGGCCCGACCGGCGGAUCAUCACUGACCGGUCAAAACAAGCUCAUUGAAGAAUUGUUCGUGGAGUUACAAUGAUGUUGGAACCAGAAACUUUGCGGUAGCUGAUGGCAUGUUAUGUCAUUUUGCAUAAUAUGAUUGUCGAGGAUAAGGGUGAUGCAAAUUUGGGGAUGUAAAACUAGGUAUUGUAUAAUAUACAUCAUCAAAAAGUGUCCAGAUCAAGUCUGUUAUUCAGGCUAUUCCCGUUUAUGCAAUGGGUAUCUUUAAAUUUCCUGCUUCAUUAUGUGAUGAGUUAUACCAGAUUAUCAGGAAUUUUUGAUGGGGCGAUGAGGAGAAUAGAAAGAGAACUUAUUGGGUGUCUUGGGAUAAGAUGACGAGACCAAAAAGUGAAGGGGGCAUGGGCUUUCGUGACCUCAGAAUUUUUAGUCAGACGCUUUUGGCUAAACAAGCUUGACGUUUAUUGGUUUUUACGGACUCUUUGUGUGCAAAGGUGAUGAAAGCUAAAUAUUAUCCUUAUGGGCAUCUUAUAGAUACGGUUUUUCCUCAAGCAACAUCCCUUACGUGGCAAGGAAUUAUGCAUGGACUCGAUCUGCUAAAAAAAGGCAUCAUAUGAAGAGUGGUCGAUGGUUCUAGUAUAAACAUUUGGAGGGAUAAUUGGAUCCCUAGGGAUUCUGGCCUACGAAUAUCUGCUAAAAAGAAUAGAAUUAGGAUCAAAUGGGUGUCCGGGUUAUUCAUGAGUGGGUCUAGGAGUUGGGAUAAGAACCUGAUCAGGCAUCUUUUCUAUAUUCAUGAUGCAGAGGAAAUUCUAAAGUUGCGUAUUCUCAGGUUGAAUGAAGGUGAUGUUAUUGCUUGGCAUUAUGAGAAAAGUGGUUUGUUCUCUGUGAAAAGUGCGUAUAGGCUGGCACUGAAUCUACAGGAAUCAAAGGUUGAUCCAGGUAACUCUAGUGGUGCCAAGAAUGAGGAAAGGAGGCUCUGGAAUAUAAUUUGGAAGGCUAACGUCCCCCAGAAAAUUAGAAUAUUUGCAUGGAGGGCUGCUUCUAAUAGUUUGGCAGUUCAAGUUAACAGGGUUAAACACCAUCAAGCUAUUCUAGGUACGUGCUCGAUUUGUGGUAUUGAAGAUGAAUGUAUUUUUCACGCAUUGGUGAGUUGCCCCAAGGCUCGGACGUUUCGUAUGGCUUUGAAGGAAGUGUGGAAUUUACCGGCUGAAGAGACCUUCAAAUUUUCUGGGCCCGACUGGUUUCUUAUUUUAUUGGGUCACUUAAAUCCGACGGUGCGUGAGCAAACGUUAUUCAUGUUCUGGAGAGCUUGACAUUUGAGGAAUGAUUUGAUCUUUGGAAAGGGAAAGGAAUCCAUCUCGGCCUCUGUGAGCUUUGUAGAAAAUUACUGGGCAUCUUUCUCGUCUUGUCAUGCAAACAUGCAGGUGGAGAUGUGCAACAAAGGUAAGCAAGUGGUGGGGGAAGUUCAGCCAACCACCAUUAUGGAGAGGAAUUCUAUCUCUUGGAAGCCUCCCAACUCAGAGUUCUUCAAUAUUAAUGUCGAUGCAAGUUUUGUGGAGGCCGUUAAAGUUGUGAGUGUGGGGGUGAUUGUCGGAAACCAUUGUGGACAAGUUAUUAUUUCAUCGUGGGAUUAUAUUGGAGCUUACUAUAGUGCUGAGGAAGCGGAACUUAGGGCGGCUCUAUCGGGCUUGUAUAUCGGUAUCACUCUUGACAUGCCCAUCAUUUUGGAAACUGAUUCUUCUUCUGUGGCUUCUGUUUUUGCAAGAGAUUGCUUUGACAGGUCGCCCCUUGUCGACCUAAAGAAGGAGCCGGUCAAUGCCUCGAAGCUAUUGGUGAAGUUUCAGAUAUCCAAGACCAAUAGGAGGGCUAAUUUGGUGGCUCAUGAGAUUGCUAAGUUCAGUUUUGAUAAUAGGUCUGAUGGAAUUGUUUUUAAUUCUGUUCCAUCCUGUGUGGCUAAUUUUGUAAUGAAUGAUUGUAUGAAUUUAAGUUAACUAAUACAUGGUGGGUUUAAAAAGAUGCAUUUUACAUCUUUAAAAAAGAGUCAACUCCAACAGAUGAUGUAUAUUGAUGAUGUAAAAGUCCAACUACAAUAGAUGAUGCGUAUUGAAGAUGUAAAACCGGCCGACGACCACGCGGCUGUGUACAACCACUGUACAGCCGCAGUUGAACAUAAAAGAGCAAUACUUUUUAGAUUUCUACAACCAAAAGUGCAUCAUAUCAAUCAAAGUUUGAAAUCCUACAACCAAAAGUGCAUCAUCUUAAACAAAAGUUCUUGGUCCAACAAAUUAAAAUGCACAUAAACAUAACAUCGAACAUAUCACUCAAUUUUCGUCCUCUCUGUUGUGACUUGUCACAUUGUGAGCGGUGGCAUCAUCAUCAUCAAUGGCUUCUUUGUCGACGUUUUCGUGUGUUGAAGUCUCGAUGUUGCGACCUCCACAGGAAGCACCUUCAUUGCCACCUCCCAUGUCGCUCAUGUUGUCACCAAAGCCAGCCCCAUGCCACUCAUGUUGCCGUCUAAGCCACCACUCAUGCCGCUCAUGUUCCACCAAAGCCACCGCCCAUGUCACCGAAGUCACCAUCGAUGUUGCCAUUAAAUGCAUCAUUCAUGGCACCUCCCAUCAUGUUCAUGUAGCACUUCCCAUUCCUCCUCCCGUCAUAAUUAACCUCACAUUCUAUUCUUAUCAGAAAUUAAAAGAACAAACACGAGGAAAAAUAUUUUUUUUUACCUUUGCGACAUUUCGUCAAGCACGUUGGAGGCGGUAGCCGUGGGCGUGGCCGCGUCUCCCUCCAUGGUCGGCGGCGACGACAGAGGUGGAAGAGGAGUUCCUUGACCGGAUGCAGCUGUCACGGCCGCUGGCGGCAGCGAAUCGGUCAAAGCAACUGCGGCUGGCUUCGCCUUUUUGCUCGCCCAUGGAUUCGUCGCCGCACCCCGCCGGCUUCUUCGCCGGGGGCGCAACUGUGACCGGCCAAUUGGGACAAAGCCGGGACGGCGGCAUGAAGGCGGAGGCGGGACCGAAGAAGGUGGUUGGGGCUGCGGCAGAGGAGGCGGCUGGGUCAUCGAAGUCGGCCAUGGCCCAGGCGGGUGGGCGGAAGGAAGGAAAAUGAAGGCAGUUGGUUGGGCGGUGGGUGCGCGACCGACUGUUUUACAUCACAUGGAGAUGAAGAUGCAAAUUUUGCAUCUUCGAAUGUUGUAUUUUACAUCUCUUGCAAAAGAUGAUGUCAGUAUUUUGGCAUCUACAUCAUCUGUUGAAGGUGGAUUUUUUGCCUCAAAGUUGCAGAAGUUCGUUAUUUUUUCCAUCUACCUCGUCUAUGAAGAUGCUCCUAGCGCGGACUACGACAUGGAACCGGGACAAGAGCUUGCUUUGCUGGUGUACGGCUGAGAUAGAAGCAAGGUGACGGUUUGUUAAAUCUGUCCGAACCUACCACUCUUCUUUUUUUCUGAGAGUACGCUUAGGUGUACCAUACCAUUAUAGAAAGCAGAAUUUCAGUUAUAAGAAAGAGAAAAGUAUAUUUUUCAUCCCUCAAUUCUUGGUGAAGUCUAGAUUUAGUCCCUCAACUAUAAAACCGGACAAGUUUAGUCCCUUGUCUCUGCUGACCCAGUAUAGGUGCCGACUCAGCGUGUUUUUGACCUGUCUUUCAUUCACAGCGCUAUUUUUCUCUCCUAUGUUGCUCUUGUUCCUCCUUACUACCCGGGCAUUCCAUCGAACAUUUGGCGCGCGCCUGCUCCCAUGCUCAAGGCCGUCGAUAUGGUCUCGUAUGGCUCCCGACACUUAUACUGCUAGCCGGAACCGUGCCACAAUGCUUCGAAAUCCACGUCACCAGCAUAACCGUUGCCGCUCUCGGUGCUCCAUCUGGACAGUCUCGCCGCUGCUAGCUAGUCGCCCUCUUGUCGCUGGUCCGCACAUUGUCGUGGGGCCUUGUCUUACUCCAGCAAACGCGUCGGCAGACUCACGGUCCUGCGUUAUGUACUCGAGUACAUUGCACGGAACGUCGGCGACAAUGACCGUGACCAUGCCGCUUUCGUCACCGUCUGUAGGCUGCAGCGCCGCGCGUCGAGCGCUACUGGCGCACGGCUCAAUCGCCACUCCCUUUAACAUGAACAUGGACGAUACGUUUUUUUGGGCAUGCAUCAACUCGUGCAACUGGUAACAUGCGUACGUGUGUUGUGGCCAGAAUGGAUCGAAGCGAUAAAGGUCCUUUACGUGCGUGUCUAUGGCGGAUGGGUGAAUCAAUCAGCUAGAGCCUAGAGGUGAGCAAUCAUCCAGAGCAAAGCACGACCGAGCCUGGUUGGUGAGCACCAGCACGCGUCGUCGAUGACCGUGCCAUGCUCGCUCAAGCCAUGCUCACCGUACUUGGCACGCCUGCUUGUGUAGCCUCCAUGCUUGGCGCUGUCGCGCCAACUGCGCCCCGCCGUGGCCAAUCUGUGCACGCAACCGCCAUCUAUUGUCUUGCUAGCCACCAUGCCGUUGGCUGGAGUGAAUUGCAAAAAACAUCAACAUUGAAAGCUAAAUUUGCAGGAAUCACAAUUCUACAGUUUUGUGCCCAAAACCAUUAAUUCUGAGGCUAAUUUUUUAAAAAACACUAGUCGCCGGCUUAGGACAUUUUGAGCACGAUUAUGACAGGAGGUCCCGCUGGACAGGGCGACAUGGCACAGUAUAACAGAUCACAAAUAGAAAAAAUAGUAUGGACUAAAUUGUAAAAGGAUCAAAGAGGAUAAGGUUCGUGCAGUAAAGAAAAAGGACAAAAUCUGGCAUCGUCUUCCUGCUGCCCAGCCGCCAAGCUCGGCCCCGGCGUGCACAUCCGGUUUGUUCCCGGCGUCCAGCCGCGCCUCCGACGUCCACCGGCGAGUACCCGGACCGUCGCUGCCUCCAAGUCCUUCGCCGCCCGCCGCUACCUCCAAGUCCUUCGCCGCGGACCUGUCGCUGCGCGCCGCCGCCCCGCAAGUUCCGCGGUGGCUGCGUGUUGACCAUGGAGUUCAACGCCUCCGCGCGCAAAAGCUCGUCGGUGCCAAGUUCUUCCGCAAGGAGCUCGUUUCCUCCUCCUCCUCGCUCCCUGGCGUCAGCGCCGGCUCCCACUCCCCGCUCCUUGGCCCGCGUUGGCGUGGUGACUGGUGAGGGAGGGCGCCACGCCGCGGCCGGAGCUCAAGCCGCCGCCGCCCUUGCUGCUCACCUGCAUUGGCGCCGGCGAGGUGACGGGGAGGCACACCGGAUGGAGCAGCCGUUGCGCCGGCCACGUAGGGGCGCGAGUAGCUAUGCCCGCCGCACGGGCGCGAGCAGCAGUGGCGUCGGCGACGCUCAACGCCCAUCCCGACCUCACGCCACGUUUCCCCCGGCUCUCAAUGGUGGCAGCCCGGAGAGGGAGUGGCCGGCGGCGUCCACCACCGGACCAGCGGGAGACGUUGGUCACGGAGGACCUGGUUGCUUUUUUUUGCAGGGGUUCUUUUGCAAAUCACGAAUGUAUCAGGGUGUAAGUAGCCUUUUUCUUUGCCACGUCGCCCUGUCAAGUGGGACCCCGCUGUCAUAAUCGUGCUCAAAACCUCCUAAGCCGAUGACUAAUGUUUUUACAAAAAAUUAGCCUAAGAAUUAGUGGUUUUCGGCACAAAACUGUAGAAUUGUGAUUCCUACAAACCUAGCCUUCAAUGUCGAUGUUUUUUGCAAUUCACUCCCGUUGGCUGCUCCCCUGAAUGCCAGAGCGCCGAGCCUACCAACUCAACGCUGCCGUGGUCUCGCCGUAGCUCACGCGCCGCCACAGACGGUCCAUACCACGAGGUGCCCCAGGCCAGCAAACUGGUCACAAAGGCAACGAGCAAGUCAGUAGCGGUGAUCUCCCAUCUCCUGGGGCCGCGCUCACGCUGUUGAGAUCACCACUGCCGAUAGCUUGCUCCUCCUUGCGCUCCCUGCCUGCACACGCUGCAUGAGAGAGCGGUGGAGUAGAGAGAGAGGAACCGGGACAGGUCAAUUUUGGGGUCUUCUUUGCCACGUUGGCAUGGACCGGUUAAAACCGGGGACCGGUCAAAAUCAAGAUUAGGGACGAGACUUGUCCGGUUACAAGAGUUAUCCAGUUUCCUAAUUGAGGGAUUAAAUCUAAACUUCACCCAGACUUGAGGGAUGAAAAGUAUACUUUUCUCUAUAAGAAACUACACUCGCUAUGAACAACCAGAAUAGACAAACAUCAUACGAAAGACAAACAACACGGCCAAGCAACCUACAACGCGGAAGAGCCUAUCCAAUCUGGAACACAACAUCGCGCCGAAGAACCUGCCACUCUCACUACGACAGCUCCGUUGAGGCCUCACACCGAACAGCACACGGUGGGUGCGUAGUUGCGUGCGUGGAUGGAAUAUGCUUACCCGGCCCAAAGAUUUCGUUCAGUCGUUCCCCAAGACAAAUGGAACAGCUCACGCUACUCAUGGCAGCGACCGUACUGCAGCAUGUGAUGUGCUACUGCAGAGGAUCCUAACCCCUGCAUACGGGCAGGUUGCGUGCGUGGAGCCAGCAGCCACCGGCCGCAUACCUUCCCCCAAUAAAUCCGCCACGACGGCACGCAGGCGAAAAAUCUGGAGUUUUGCUUCUCCUAGUCGUCGCCUCGUCGGAGCCCAGCAAGACUGCUGGAGUAGUGGCUAGCGGCCGGCGCGCAGAGAGAGCGAGAGAGAGACAGAGGAGAGAGAGAGGGGAUGGGGACGGAGCCGACGAUGCUGCAGCGGUGGUCGUCGUCGAUGUGGGGGAUGAGCGGCGGCGACCGGCUGCGGCUGUGGGAGGACAAGGCGUGGCGGGCGCACGCGGCCAUGGCCUUCACGCAGCUCGCCUACGGCGGCUACCACGUCCUCACCAAGUCCGUCCUCAACGUCGGCAUGAACCAGAUCGUCUUCUGCGUCUACCGCGACCUCGUCGCGCUCGCCCUCCUCGCCCCCGCCGCCUACUUCCGAGAGAGGUACGUCGUGCUAGGCGCCUCACCCCAUGGCUGCUCUGCUCUGAUCUGGACGAAUUGACAUCGAAUUUGACUUGAUACUCUUCGGCUGCGGAUUCUGAAUAUCCCGCAGGAGGGUGCGGCGCCCCGUCACCCCGCAGCUGCUCGGCUCCUUCGCGCUCCUUGGAUUCACCGGGUAAUUUUCCCCCUCGUCCUCAUGCUGCUGCUGAUGCCUGAUGGAGCAAUAAGAGUCACAUUCUGACGGCGUGCAGGAUCUUCGGGAACCAGCUCCUCUUCCUGCUCGGCCUCGGCUUCACCAACGCCUCCUACGCCGCCGCGUUCCAGCCCGCCAUACCCGUCUUCACCUUCCUCCUCGCCGCAAUCGUCGGGUGAGCACUGAGCAAUCAACCAAUCAAUCAACGGAUGCACAUACACGUUUCAGAGUUCUGACAUCGCCUUGGAUGCAAAAUGCCAAACUGAACCGUAACAAACCCCGAAAUGUCCCAUUGCCGCGGAUACACUUCUGGAUUCUGAUCAAAUGCUGAACCAAAAUGUUCUUAUUCCAGUGUCGAAGUCAUCCACGUCUUCACCAGAGACGGCGUCUUCAAGGUCGUCGGCACGGCCGUGUGCGUCUUCGGCGCCCUCCUCAUGGUCUUCUACCGAGGCCCCUCCCUGAUCGGCCUCGGAGGCGCCAAUGCGCUGGCCGGCGCCGACGCGUCAUGGAGCGGCAGUUCCUAUCCUGCUCAGUGGCUGACGCCAGCCGUGCUCCAGUUCAGUUUUGGAACCUGGAACCUUGGUGUCCUGUGCCUCUUAGGCAACUGCUUCCUCAUGGGGGCUUAUCUUGUCAUACAGGUAAUGCGGAAUGGGAUUUGUUUUUAGCUUCAUGAUAGUUUUUUGCUCUUAAUGAGAAUUACAUAUAUCUGAAUUUGUGUCCUUUUCUGCUGUGACUGAUUCCAGGCCCCGGUGUUAGUAAAAUAUCCUGCGAGCUUAUCCUUGACAGCCUACUCUUACUCAUUUGCCACCAUCUUCAUGGUGUUGACUGGGGUUUUUGCAACCAACGGGCUCCAUGAGUGGGCGCUGACAGGGACAGAAAUCAUAGCCGUUCUAUAUGCUGUGAGUAUCUGAACAAUAAUCUAUGGCCGCCCUUUAUGAUUACAUUAGAACUUGUAUGACCAUGCUAUGAUGUGCUAACCUCUCCGAGCUUGUUCUAACCACAUUUCUUGCUUGCACCAACAGGGAGUUGUUGCGUCUUGUCUCAACUACGCAAUCAUGACUUGGGCGAACAAAAUUCUUGGACCAUCUCUGGUCGCCCUCUACAAUCCGCUCCAACCAGCAUGCUCUACCAUCCUCUCAACUAUUUUUCUUGGUACCCCAAUCUAUCUAGGAAGGUAUGGACCAACCAACACUCUACCCUAUGUGUUAUUUGAAUUAUUUGAACAUUGUCACAUCAUGAGUUGUCAAGUUUCGGGUCAUUCGAAUUGGUCAUUUUGCAUUGUGUUUAUCGGUUGAGCUUGGUGCUCUUUCAAGCAAAAUGAUAUGAUAUAAUGGCAAUGGUGCUUGGCGUAAACUGGUGGUGUUUUCCAUGUAUACCAUUACUGAAAUUUGACUUUUCUUGGUUAGUUUGCCUCACUUAUAGGCUACAGAAUUCCCACGAAUUUAUGCAGAACUAAAUACCCACCUUGUGCACUACCUGCAGCCUCAUUGGAGGAGUCUUCAUCAUUGCUGGUCUAUACCUGGUUACUUGGGCCCGUUACAAUGAGGCGCAGAGAAUACUGAUGUCUGGUUAUCUGAAUCCUCUUCUUGUGGAGGUGGAGGAUGCGCCAGCUCCCAAGAGACAGGAAAAUUCCAGCUCAAUUGAUCCCUGAUACUCAGACGAAGACUCCACUGUGUUUUUUUUCCAGAACAGCAGCAGCAGAAUUACGUUGUAUAUUAGUAUCAGAAAGCUUGUAGUUACCUUCUCUACCAUUGGAUUAAGUUGCAUCAUUAAGGCUCAUACCCAAAUACCCUCGACAUAAGCUGGAAUGGAAAUGUGUCGCAAUUAUCGUUCUCCUAGCAGCCGCGGAAGAUGCUACUGGCACUGGCUAACAAUGUGCAAUGAUAGUUCAGUUUCAGCAGUUGUCUUCACGGGUCAAGGAACAGCUUCAGUGAUCAAAGGUAAUUACUUCAUCCAACCCAACUUGUUAAUAGUUCAUUAGUUAUCAUCGUAAUUGCUUAAUUGGCAUAUGGCUGCCAUGAUUGCUGCUGUUAACUUGCAUUUCAUCUUCUGCUUCAGCAGCCUCUAUUACUGCCUGGGAACCGACGCUGCAAUACAGUAUAAGCCAAACUGUUCUUCUGUUAUGAUUUCCAAUUUCCGUCAUGCCAUACUUGCGAAGCAAUUAUGUCUGGAGCUCAGUGCAUAAGUUGGAAAAAUCAAAGUAGGAGCUCCAAAUUCUUUGGCACAUCAGGCCGCUUGAGUGUUCUUACUUUGCUUCUGUUGUAUGUGCCUCCCUCUUAUGUAAAUUGUUGGCACGGUUACAAAACCAUCUUGUGUCGCCCAACUUAUGUUUUAGGGUAUGUUUAGUUUGUGCCCAAGGUUGCCCCACCAAAGCAUUGGCUGGUUGAGGUUUUGGUUGCCCAUGAUUUGGCAACAUUGGUAAGAAAAAUGAACUAGAGUUGGCUAGAGUUCAUUUGGCAUGCCAAAAAUUUGGCAACCAUCCAAACAAAGACCAAUCUUUGGGUCCAAAAUUUUGAUAAGGUGCACUUUGGCCACAAUCCAAACACACCCUUACUCCCUUCGUCACUAUUAUGAGAUGUUCCAACUUUUUUCUGAUUCAUAUGUAUAUAGUCAAAUUUUCGUGUGUUUGCUCUUCCGUAUGCCAUUUGUGAACGGAGGUAGUUCUUGGCCAUGUUAUUUUUCCUACAGUUUUUAGAGACAGGCUGCGGCGCCACCACCCACCAGCAAGGGUUCGCCAUGACCUCACCAGAAAUGGGGACAGCACAGCUAGCGUGAGAGGACGCAGCGGCUGUGGUGAGGAAGAAGAAAGCGCAGCAUAGGCAAUCCCACUUGGGGCUUGUUCGGUUGCAACAGGAUUUGAAGGGGAUUGGAAUGGAUUGGGAGGAUUAAAUCCCAUACAGUCAAAAUCCCACUCAAUCCCCUCCAGGGCCUUACACAAUUCCUACAACAUUUAUGCGCUCCAAACACCGCCCUUAAGCAGCACUGGUUACGCCAAGGGAACUCCGGCGUGCUGAUUCCAGUUAAAUGCACAAACUAAAAUACCACUAUGUUGCUACAUGCAAAACACAAGCGAGCUAUGAUGCAGUUACAGUGAUGGUAACACAGAAUGUUAAGCUCGUUUUAAAAAGCUGCCACCAGGUUUAAGUGGAGACGAAAAGUCACACCAGUGAAUGGACCUUCGACCUCCAGGUAACAAUUUACUACUUUCAUGGCUGACAUAAUUUCAGCAUCAAUUCCAUUCAAUCAAAAUGGUAGGAAAGUACUUCUCACCAUUGCUUCAAGCAUCAAAGAUUCCAUGCCAUCAAAGUCACUAGGCGUGCUUCAAGCAUAUCAUAAUAUCACAUCAUUGCAAUGCCUCUUCAGUGGGCAAUGCAAUAACAAAAGUGCAUCGACAACGCCAGACUAUUCAUCAUUGUUAUAAAGGGCAGCGUUCAGUUGAGGUGUUUAUCCCCCAACAUCAGUUGCCACACUUCUAGGUACCAAGCAAAUUGACAGCAACCAGUUAUUUAGGCUCAGUUUAGCUCAUCCCAGAUGUUCUGGAGCGCAUAAUAUAUCCGAUUACAAGACAACCAAAUAUCUUAAAACGACCGACCAAACGAGACAGUGGUCAUAACAAUCCAUUGCUACGGCAAACAGAGACUUAGAAGAGGCGCUUGAAGCUGUGGAGGCCUCAUUUCUGUUCAUCGCUGCAAUGGCAGAUUCAUUCAUCAUCAAACUAAGGGCAGCAAGGCUGCCAGUGAUACCACCAGGAGUAUCAACCAUACUCCCAGGAUACCAAUUCUGACCGAUCGAUCGAUGAUGCAUAAUGAACAUGGCAUAAGGAACCACAUGGCACGAAGAAAAAGGAGAGUUGAGCAUUCUAAAGCAUGGACUUGUGUAUGAAAUCGACAUCCCUCCCUUGCUAAAAAGGGGCAGCUUCAUCAAUAGCUGAGAAUCAACGAGGUAAAAUACUUCUUACGGCGCACCGAGGACACUAACACAAGCGCAAAUCCCCGAUUCACGCACUUUAGCCGCCAAUUGGAGGAACUGGAUCGGCAGCAGAUCUUUUCAGAUCGCUCGAGCGCCACUAGACAUUAACAUCAGCAAACAAUUUGCCAGCAUCUUAGAGUAGCGACAGGUAAUUAAACAUGGCGAUGAGGCCACACGGCCUCAAGUAUACAGGGAAAAGAAAUCACGCGUCUAUCACACGACGACACACCACACGCAUCAGCAGCAGCAACAGCAUCAAUAUUUUAGAGCAGCAGCAACGGCAGCAUCAGCGGCAGUACUAAACUUAAGACAGCAGAUGCAGGCGACGACCACGGCAGAUCGGAGCGGACGACCAUAGAGGGGUUUGGAUGCAAGGUAGGGUAGGGUAGGGGGGGUUUAGAUUACCCCGUCUUCUUGAGGCUGCCGCGGAUGCCGGGCUUGGGCUUGGAGGUGGAGGCGACGGCGGCCGCGGCGGGCGCGGCGGCGGUGGAGCCGUGCAGGUUGUUGAUCUUGUCCGGGUCGAAGGGGAGCUUGGGGUGGCGCGCCUCGUGGUGGAUCUGCAUCGACUUGACGUCGGGGGCCGUCACCUUGCAGAGCGGGCACUCCAUCUUGGCGUGGCCGCCCUUCUCCUGCCCGAGCCGGUCCUUCUGCCCGGCCUUGCCCCCGCCGCGGUUGGUCGUCGCCGCGUCGAUCUUCGCCGCGAUCUCCUUGGCCGUGUGCUUCUUCGGCUUCGCCUUGCCCGUCAUCUCCGACGAGGAGGCCGGUUCCUCCCGACGGCCCGCUGGAGCUCUCGCUUUCCGCCGCCGCCGCCGCCGCCGGCUCUCCUAACCCUACUUGCUGCGCUUGUCUUCUUUGCGUUUGACGGGACGGGGGUUGGGGGCGGCUCGGGUGCGGAUGGGGGGCGCCAAUUAUUAGGCCCCCUGGGGCGCGCUGCUCCGCCCGCUCCGCCGUCCGAUCUGGAGCCAGCGGCCCUGAUGGCCCUUCUAGGAUUCCUCCUUUUUUUUUUAUACUAUGAAAGAUGGAAGAAAAAUAUGUUGGUUGGAUGGAAGAUGCGGCUUCUAGGGUUGCUCGCCGUGUCUUUGCAUAACUCUUUUUUUUUUCUAUUCUUUAUUUAAGCCACGGGCUCUAUUCGUUUUUUAUGUUUUCAUUUAUUUAUUUAUUUAUUUAUUUUUAGGGGAUGUAUUCAUUCAUUAUAGUGUCUCUCGUACGAGAAAAGGAGGAUUGUAGAUUAUCGUAUGAGAAAAAGGAACGGGAUUCUAUCGUAUGAGAAACGUAGUGGUGGACAAUAUUUCUGUUUCUGCGAGGGAAAGGGAAUACUGCAGCACGCGUCAAAGGAAAAAAGAGAAUAUUGCUGUAUACUGUGUAGUGGUGGAGGUUUGUUGGAGAUUCCUCUACGGGGCAGUGGUGGAGCUUCGUCUACAGAAAGGCGCAGCAUUUGCAUAAACCAAUAGGGACAGUGCUUCAACUGUUUCUUUAUAUAAAGGUAGGAGAUGUUCCUCUAGAGAUUUUCACAGUACAAAAUUACUACGAGACUCAUGCGUUUGUAACAAAGGUAUCGGCCAACAAUCUUGCAGAACUAAGCGGGAAUAUUUGCUUGCUGAUGAUCAUUUAUCGUUCAAAUUAAAAGGCGCAUAACGGCAAUGUCUCUAAGGUAAAUAACCCCAGCAAAUAUGCAGCAAAAGAGAUACUGACAACAGAACGGUGGUGUAUGAUACCUUCAAAGUUGCCAGCCAGAUCACGGGUAAGCAAGUCAUUGUACUUUUUUAUAGUAAAGAGGAAAAAACUUGCCGUCUAAAUUCACACGGAAGUACACGAAAACAGUCCGGAUAAUAACGCUUCUACAACGGAAACUAGUCACCGUAGCUUUCCACCAGAGACCGUUUCAGGUCAUCACAGCGGCACUUCCCCGCUGUCAGCAAUGACAACUUUGCUCUUUGGUGUCCCGUUCUGCUUGCCCUCGGCCUCGACCUUGUAGACCACGUCCAUUCCAGACAACACCUUGCCGAACACGACGUGCUUGCCAUCCAACCUAGAAUACAGAGUGUAUAUCAUCAACAACAAAGUCCCAACUCCCAACAGAACAAAAGGUUUAGCACAAAUUACUGCGAUUACAAAGCAUCGUGAAGAAUUACCAGCUCGUAGUUACAGUGGUGAUGAAGAACUGGGAUCCGUUGGUAUCUCUCCCAGCAUUGGCCAUGGAAAGGUAGCCUGCACCGACAACCAGUCAAUGAAAAAGGAGGAUGGCUUAACCAGGGCUAUCAUUCUAACGGAGCUCUUCCAGUUGCAAAAUGGAUUUCAAGAAACAAGGAUCAUUACCUGGUCCAGUGUGCUUGAGCUUGAAGUUCUCAUCGCCGAACUUUGUGCCGUAGAUUGAUUCACCACCCCUUCCAUCACCAAGAGUGAAGUCGCCUCCUUGGAUCAUGAAGCUGGGGAUAAUUCUGUGGAACGAACUCCCCUUGUAGUGGAGAGGUUUGCCGCUGUUGCCCAUACCUUUCUCUCCUGUAUGACGAUUAAGUGGGGCAUGGUCAGCAACCACUAGCAGACAUCAUAGAGAGAAGCUACUAUACAGAUUGUAUUACUAAUAAAGCAGAUAUUCUGAAUAUAAUGAAUAUGCAGUAAAUAGUGAUAGGCUUUCGUAAUACUCUAUGUUGGAAUAUGAACUUAUGAAGAGUGUAACGACAGUUAUCCACCUUUCUUUUCAUGAAGUAAAAUAUACUUAGACUAGGCACUAGACAACUACGAACUCAGCCAGUUACUUAAUUUCUUCUCUUUUUUCAUAUUGACAUUCAUAUUUAGGCACUUGUAUGGUAGAGCAAGGGAUGAACAAUCAAAAUUCUGCACACAGGGCUACUCCUUGAGACCGUGCAGAACUUACAACAUAGAACCUUCAAUUAUGCUCGAGGGGGUUUGGAAUUUAAACAGAUGAUCCCCAAAACUUUGCAGGAAAACAGGCUGCCACCAUUCUCUCUACAUUCUUGUGUCUAGAAUGGUAAACUUGGAUUUGAAAUAAUGAGGAAACAAUACAGGUAGAUUCCUUCUCUUCAAGGAAAAAGGUAAGCACAGCUUUGCCAUGUUACAAGCAUAGCAUGCAUCAAAUGAGUUAUAUAAUUUCCAUUGUGCAAUUAUGUUUUGACUUUCUGAGGAAGGCAAUUAUAUUUGAUUGGCUAAAUAACUUGAAGAUUAGCCAAAAUAACAAGUAACAGUAAUUGGAUAGAGCAGAUUUUAUUCCAAACGCCAGCCUUGCCAUCAGACUAAUCAUCUGGAAACUCCAACAAGCAGACGGCGUAAAGAAUGUAACAGCGCAAGUAGUACGGAAGCAUACCUGUGCAGAGUGCUCUGAAGUUCUCUGUAGAACAAAAGAUAUCGAGCCAUUAGCAUUUCUGUCAUCCAGUAAAUGAGUACAUGGUUUGUAACUCGAACAGUAAGGAGAUGAUACCUGCGGUUUUAGGAACAGCCUUGCCGAAAAGUCCCAUGACAACCCGACCUAUGACAAUUCAGAAUCAAUUUAAAUGCCACCGGAUCAAUCAAACAAUGGAAAGAGAUGCACAAUAAGAACAUACAUGAAUAGCACACCAGUGAAUAUUUUUCUCACUUAUAAACAUAAAACAAAAUUAGGCGCGGUGCAGCCAUCUAAACAUGAAAAUUCAAUUUCAAUGUCGAUCUCACAAUUUUUUCAACGAUCCAAAGCAAAAGGAAUCACUCAACGUCUAACUACAAACCGGGCUUUCUAGGCCAGGAAACAGGCAUGCGAUAUUGGUUGUAUCAGUAGCAGUCUACUGUCUGCCCCAUGCUGGGAUGAUACAUCGCGCUGAUCUGAAAAUAAAUCUGCGGCCAGGGGUUCAGCACAGACCUGCGGGCUUGCCGUCGAUCUCGAUGUCGAAGUAGACCUUGUGCGUCACCUCAGAAAGGUUGGAUUUCUUGCCCUGAAAACAAGGAAGAAAAUCGUAAGUACGCAUCCCAUACAGAGACACCAACCACAUCAAACCCUAACACAUAUAAGCCGUCCGGAUCCGCGGCAGACAGGUUCAGACAUCAGCGCGAGGGCAACGAUUAACCGUAUCAGAGAAACGAUCAGAUCGGCGAACAAAUCGGCAAGCGGAAAAGUAAGGGGAUGGGUUCGCGGUAGACGGACGAGGUGGAUGAGCACCUGGGCGAGCACCAGGGUGGCGGCGACGAGCGCCAGCCACAGGCACAGGUGCGCCGGGGCCCUCGCCGCCGCGCUCCGCCUCCACGCCCUCAUCGCCAUCUCGGAUCGUAUCGCCGCGGACGAGAGAGAAAGAGAGGGAGAGAGCAGAUCUGUUUACUCGUUCCACUACGCAGUCUCCGAGAGGGAGAGUCCACGGGCGAGAUAAACAGAGCUGCUCGUUCGGCUGACAGGUGGGGUCGAACAGUCAGACCACGGCCUCACAAGCUGCUCGCCCCCGACCGCACCCAUGACUGCUCUUUUGCUUUGCAACAGCAACUCCUAGCACCAAAUUCCACUCCUCCUCGCAUAAGGAACACUAGAUUCCACUCACUUUAUAUUCUAUCAACUUCUUAUAACUACAAAAUAUGAUUAAAAAAAUCACCAAACUUCUGAAAUUUCGGUAAUUUCAGUGGGUACCAAAAUAUAAACCCUACUGCUAACUCUUUUUCCCUGUUAUGCAAAAAAACUCUUUCUCUCUCUUCUAACACUAUUUCACCCUUCACAAAGAAGCACACAAGUAUUUUGACUCUUUUUAGAGAGUUGAUCCACCGUUCAAAACUAAGUGUCGUGGUAUUGAACUAAAACCAUAACACUUAUUUUGAAACGGAUGGGGGUAAACAAGAAUUAUGUUCAUGAAAGUAAUACAUUUAGAUCUUGCGGUUAAUUAAGAACUUGGGUUUGUUACAGCUCUAUCAUGUUGGGUCUAGUAAGUAGGUGUAUCACGCGUUUGUUGUGAUUACUACUCCCUUCCUUAUUAAGUAUCAUCGGUCCUUAUAAAAAGACACCCUUGCAGAAAAAAUAGAAAUACAUUCAAAAUCUUAGGGGAGCCGAAGUCUUCUUCGUCCCGCAUCCAUCGGCGGCGUGUCGUGGGCAUAGCUUGAUGCCGCUUCUAGGCCUUCGCAUCGACGAUCCUAACUUUUUGAAAUCCAUGAGUUUGUAGAAGCAACGGUCGGGAAGUCGUUGAUGCAGACUAGGAAAUGCUGACAACCCGGAGAAAAGGAUGUCGAUAAGGGGUUGUACAAUCUCUGAGUACCACGAAAGCCGACCAAAUCUAGAUAAGAUCCACCGGAUACCUAAACCGUCUGGAAUCCAAACGACUCGUCAAAUAUAUAGCUCCACUCGUGCUCCACCAACGAAAACACACACAAAUGAAACGGGGAAUAGGGCCCUCCACCAGCGAAAAAACAUGCCCUCCACCCGCAUAGAGAAUAUCAUUCCUACUCUGGGGCAACGCGGUCACUUCACUGCCCCAAACCACAUACAAAGAUUCUCUAAAGAAGACCUGAAACAAAACACCCAUGCCGUUGUACGAUAGGUUUGGAUCUGAUGCUGAACUCGCCGCCGUUCAAAACAAUGCACAGAAGCCCGACCAGGUUGGGUCACCGAUGAAGACCUCCACACUGGAUUCCUUCGGUCGACGUUGGCUUCACCAACGCCAAUGUCGUGCAUCGCUUGACAAAGGCUGACACUCGAGCACACAUCUCAUUUGCCGUUUCACAACAACCCUCCAACGCCUCAGAGAAGGCCCCCGAUCCAGGCCUCCCCGCCCCCGUCGGUGUCGCACGGGCUUUGCUCGGCGACGAGACGGAUAGACGUGGCAGCCAGGGUUACUUCUCCGCCUGUGUCUUAGGAAAAAAGCGCUCUGAGAAACAAGGAACUGGAUUUUCUUCUGGUUUACUAACCAAUCGGUAACUCCAUCAGAUUCCUUUUAUUCAUGAUCUCAUGUUCUUGUAUGUUAUGAGAGCAAAUAUGCCAUACAGAGUGGUUGAUCUACAAUUUUCAGAUAUACUACAACACAUACUGCGUUUUUGCAACGACAAGUCAUUGUAUUGCCGCAAAAAGAAAAACGACAAGUCAUUGUAGUCAGGCGUAACAAAUGUGAAUAGUAGCAGAGAAACUCUAUGAAAUGACGGGAGUACCAACGAUUGCUGCACAAAGCCAAACCUCUGGGAAAUGAAGAAGUGCUAACAAUCGUUGCACAAGCCACAUCGGUUCUGAUUGUCAAGUGACUCGUGAGGAAGAAAAGAGAGUAGGGGCCUACUUGCUCCAAAAAAUUCUCAAAAACACAUGAACAAGAAAAAAGUAGGGUUAGAGUGCCGUGUCCUCUUUAAUCCUACUCCUUCCGUUCCUAAAUACAAGUCUUUUUAGACAUUUGAAAUGGACUACAACAUACGGAUGCAUGUAGACAUAUUUUAUAGUGUAGAUUCACUCAUUUUGCUCCGUAUGUAGUCACUUGUUGAAAUCUCUAAAAAGACUUACAUUUGGGAACGGAGGGAGUACAAAAUUACAAAACUACAUGAAUUCAGAUAAACCAUUGUUUGAUAGCACGGGAAAAGCAAAAGAAAUUCCACCAAUUUUCCUCCAAGAUAGAGUGCAAAAGAAUCCCAAGUAAGAGUUCCUUGGAUUUCAAUCCAGCGAAUCAAAUAACGACCAACAUAGGGAAAGUUCUAAGGAUCCAAAUCGUCCACAAAUUCUACUAAAUGCCUUCGAAUCAAAGGAGCCGUGGCAAAUUUCAUCCAUGAAAUCACUUUGCACAGGGAGCGCGACCAACAUUGCCCAGUUUUUUAACAAUCGAUGGUGUUGUCUAGUAUUGGGCCUCAAGAAAAGAAAAAAUGUUGCCUAGUAUUGGACCAAAUCUGAACUUUGCAUAUAUUUGAACGGCAAAAAAUGAACAUAUAAGAAAAGUCACUGAAAUCAUGUGUUGCAGAAGCAAAUUGCAGAGAUCCUACAGGAAAUGGAGUAGGUGGUAGCAACAAGAGUUGCACGAGUCCCAACGGUUUUGAUUUGCAUUGCACACUCUCACAGUACUACAACAGAAUACGUGACAAAUGAUCAGAGUACGGAAGCUACUACUGAUCUACUACGCAGAACAAGGUAUCACCAACCAAUGAAAAAGUUACUAGUUUGUACAUUCACUGUCAGUAGUUGUACUAAUAAAACCACCAUGCCAGCACCAUCAUCUGAUUAUCUGUCGCCUCGCAGAAGAGCGACACAGGGAUUUGGCAUCUGCGCAUCAA